rnacentral:rRNA from 1 species
UACGGAGGGGGCUAGCGUUGUUCGGAAUUACUGGGCGUAAAGCGCACGUAGGCGGCUUUGUAAGUUAGAGGUGAAAGCCCGGGGCUCAACCCCGGAAUUGCCUUUAAGACUGCAUCGCUUGAAUUGUGGAGAGGUAAGUGGGAAUUCCGAGUGUAGAGGUGAAAUUCGAUAGAUAUUCGGAAGAACACCAGUGGCGAAGGACGACUUAC